rnacentral:rRNA from 1 species
CUCUGCUGCCAUAGACUCAAGAAAACUGGACAUCCUGUCCGUUCUGCCAUACAUAUGCUUGAGAUCGGCAGAUUAGUAGCUGGGUGGGUGGCCACCAGCGAAUCCCUGCUGUUGUAUGCU